AUGAAGCUGCCUGUUCUGCUAGUGGUGCUGCUAUUGUUCACGAGUCCAGCCUCAAGCAGUGAUGUUGUUCUGACCCAAACUCCACUCUCUCUGCCUGUCAAUAUUGGAGAUCAAGCCUCUAUCUCUUGCAAGUCUACUAAGAGUCUUCUGAAUAGUGAUGGAUUCACUUAUUUGGACUGGUACCUGCAGAAGCCAGGCCAGUCUCCACAGCUCCUAAUAUAUUUGGUUUCUAAUCGAUUUUCUGGAGUUCCAGACAGGUUCAGUGGCAGUGGGUCAGGAACAGAUUUCACACUCAAGAUCAGCAGAGUGGAGGCUGAGGAUUUGGGAGUUUAUUAUUGCUUCCAGAGUAACUAUCUUCCUCU